GCGCGUGCGCGAUCCGCUAGCUUAAGACGGUCGACGUCGCAACACUGUGUCGAGAGAACACGAGCGAGGAUGAAAGUAGCGCGCGUACCUGGUACCCGGUCAGCGCGUUCUGUCGUCUUCGAGGCUGGCUGGUACCAAGAUUAGUCGUUUAAGGCUAAUGUCACGGGACCCUUUGCAGCUUUCGCGAGGUGCUACUCGCGCCCUUUCCCCGACGACCGGCCACCUAUCCGGGCGUGAUGAGAGACAGGAUAGCACCUGGGUCAAACGGGAAAGGGCUGUGGACGAUUUAUCGAAGUCUCAUCCGCCACGUGCCACGGACGAUCCUCUUUCAUGAUCUAUUUUUUUUUCUCUUUUCUAUGCGUACCUUCAGUAUUCCCGACGCCGUGGAUCGAGACCGAUCAGGCUGGAUCGCGUUCGAUCGCUCGACUGGCUACGUGGCGGAGCUGCGCACUGUCGUAGUCGUCGUUGCAGGUGGUAUUUUUAUAAUUUGUAUGUUCGACGAUAAGUAUUAAUCACACUGACAGAGGACACUUACGUGACGAACCGACAUACACGCAAACACACACACACAUGCAAACACACACACGCAGAGACAUUCAGACGCAGGUUUCUUAGCUGAUAGGUGCUUAGGAUUGUGUAGAGUCUUAAUCGUAUAAGUAAGGACGAGCAAGUAUCGCCAAAGUAUCAUUUGGCGUGGAAGGACCGUUGAACAUAUCGCUAAUUAGAUUGAAGAAUACGAGGCGUUCGUACACGCGCGCGUUCAGGAUGCUGUGACAAAAAUUUCGGGGCGAUUCUAGAGCGCCUGGGCAUGAGACAAGUUCUUCAGGCUCGUUCAGGUCCGGCUGACGAUUAGUUCCUGAUCUCCGAGCAUUCCUUUCGACAGGCAAAAUGAAAAAAAAAAUAAUAAUAAAACGCGCCCCGUAGGCGACGUAGAACGAACCGAUCAGAAGGAGAGAAUCUUCGGUGUGCGGGUCUGUUGUGUUACAGAGCGUUCGUGCAGCGCUGGUGUCGUGUGUAAUGUUCUAAGAUUAACAAAAAACACUAAUGAUACACACCUAGUAGCCUAAAUAGUCCGCAAGAGCGUUAAAUAUAUUCUCUAGAGAUAUUCACAAUGGAGGGGCCCAUUUUGUUGAAACAAAAGGAGAACGACGAUGAGUAUUGGCGUGGAUAGGAUCAGAUUGUGUCCUCGUGUCAAGAAGCGUAGAUUAUCAGUAGUAUCGUAGAGUCGUGAUAAAAACUGAACGGGGCUAUCGAAGGGAUCGUUCCGACGAUACUGCUCCAGAAUCUCUCGACCCACCUGACCUGCGUGGCCUCCACACAGGUGCCCAGCGUCGUCGCGACCCUCCCGCGAGAGACCCGUCGUUUUUUGUCAAACCGACAUUCUGUUGGAGUCAAUUAAAUCUUAUUAAUAUACGUAUCGAUCGUAGAGAGACGUAGAACGCAAGGAGAACAAUGUUUCCGCGUAUGGUUGAUUGGCUGAGCGUGCGAAAGGAGAGCCUGACGUGUGCCAGAUGUGUGCGUGCGUGAGAUGAAGUGUGAUGGAAAAAACCGAGAAAAUUACAAAAAAACGUAUAUAUAUGUAUAUUAAAAAGCGAGUGCCGGCCCGGGCAGUGUUGUUUGUGCCAAAGUAGGCUAGCCGUUAACUCUAGGAUGGGAUGUGUCGAGUCACGAAGAGAUGUUACUUGCCACCGCACGAACGUCGACUAUUUGCACCAAACAGAUGGCGGUGUUCGUCGGGAGGUCGACCAAAAUCAACAAGUAGAGACGUAGCGAGUAGCCGGCAUGAGCGAAGGGGCCAGUCUUUGCAUCUAUGAUCUGUCUUUCGAAUCUCCCACGUAAUUGUUUAAUCCGACGACUGCAUUUAUAGAUUCUACGAGAGGCGCUGGUCAGGCGUCAACACACUGGCUGUACACACGAAUACACGCGUUUUGUUUCUUGGCUUCCUCGGAACGGGCUUGUUCCGGUGUUCAGGCUGUGACGCCGGAGGAGGCUGCUUCUUGUUCUUUUUAGAACACGCGACAGUUAACUGCCGGAACGAGCUUCAGCCUCUCCGCCGUCGCCAUUUUACCUCGCAGUUGUCCUGCGUUCCGUCUUCGAUCCUAUGUUCUUCAAGUAUUAUCCAAAGCAGGCUCUUUCAAUCUCGCGCCCGCGAGCGCACAAAUUGUCCCUGUCUUCGACUGAGGACCACUCGCACAAUAGUAUUUCCGGCACAAUUGCAAGCGUACCUGAAAAGCCUGUAAACGUUUCGUUCUUUUUUUUUUAAGAAUUUCCGGACACAUUCCCGUUCACACACUCACACGAUCACGUACACGUAUACACGGAUCUGGGCAGACUUGCCUGCAGGACACUCGACAAUGAUUUCUUUAUUUACUUCCCUCCUGAUUUUAAGGGGAGACUUCCACCGUUAACCGGGAAUUUCUAUUUGAGGGACAGUAGUACAGCUUUAAGACAAACAAUCAAUUUGAUAUCAGCCAUUUUGAUCUUCUUGUUCGAAACAAUCUGUUGAAGCAUUGAAGGUUUGAAGAGGUGUGAACCGGUUGUUUUUUGAAGACACCCUGUAGAGGGUUUAGAUCGAGUAUAUCACUAGCUGGGUUGAGGGGGGCCGAUGUGAGAGUUGGGAUAGCCAGCACUCGCUACAUGGUGUUGCAGAUAUUCAGGCUCCGAAAUUUCUCCAGACCAAUGAAAAAUCUCCUUGCGAAAUUCUAGAAAAAUCGUUCUAAUAUAUUGUAUACAGAUAUUCGACGCGAUCUCUUCAUAUAGACGUAUUUUUAUAUAAUAGAGACAGAAGGAAAGAACGUGUGACCAAUGAGAUUGCUCGAUCGACUUCGAUCAGGAGGAAGUUUGAAACUGUUUGAAAUCAUCCCGGUUCAUACACCGUGGAUUGCUCCUUCCAUUUCUCUUUUCUUUAACUCAUUGAUACCUUGGGGAUUGGUUGUUGCCACUGAGAUGAUUGUUUUUUUAAUUAUUUUUAAAUAUAAAAUGUUAGAUUAUAGACUAUAAUAUAGAUUGUCAAGGAUUAUUAAUAGUACUGCCUUUGUAAUUGCAAAAAUUUGUCAAACUUUGUCAAACCAAAUUGCACUUCAAUUAAUGCAUAUCAAUAGUUAUUGAUAUUAACAUGCUCCUCUCUGUCAGUAAUUAAAUGUGUCUUGAUGUUUGAUCAGUUGACAUAAGAGGAACCAACAAACCUUAUGGAACAUUGAGAAGUGUCAUUGGACCUCAACAAACAUCAUCAAACUUUGUCAAACAUUAAGAAGUGUCAUUGGACCUCAAACAUCAUCAAACCUUGUCAAACAUUAAGAAGUGUUAUUGGACCUCAAACAUCAUGAAACAUUAUUAAACAUUAAGAAAUGUUAUUGAACCUCAACAAACAUCAUCAAACUUUGUCAAACAUUAAGAAGUAUCAUUGGACCUCAAACAUCAUCAAACAUUAUUAAACAUUAAGUAAUGUCAAUGGACUUCAACAAACAUCAUCAAACCUUGUCAAACAUUAAGAAGUGUCAUUGGACCUCAAACAUCAUCAAACCUUGUCAAACAUUAAGAAGUGUUAUUGGACCUCAAACAUCAUGAAACAUUAUUAAACAUUAAGAAAUGUCAUUGGACUUCAACAAACAUCAUCAAACUUUGUCAAACAUUAAGAAGUGUCAUUGGACCUCAAACAUCAUUAAACAUUAUUAAGUAUUAAGAAAUGUCAUUGGACCUCAACAAACAUCAUCAAACCUUAUCAAACACUAAGAAGUGUCCUUCGACAUUUUGAAGUGUCAUCAAACAUUAAACCUUAUCAAACACUAAAAAGUGUCACUUAUGACAUUUUGAAGUGUCAUCAAACAUCAAACCUUAUCAAACCCAAAUCUCAAAGAGCAACAACCAUAAUCCGUAAGUAUCACUUCAUGAAAACGUUUCAUGAUCAAAAUUGGAGUAAAGUCACGAUACGAAAGAAAGAAAACUGAAAACCAGUUCGGACCAAGGAAAUUCGGGGUCUGGUUCGAGCCACGCAGUAGACGAAGCUUAGCCUACAGAGGUUAAUUAGAAAUUAUAAAUAAACAAGAGUCAUGUAUGUACACACUUGAAAACAUUCACUCGAAACAACCCGACACACACGCAUACACACGUACACACUAUGUAUAUCUCCUAUAUAUUUGAUAUAUCGCAUUGUAACACAGGUGUGUCCAAAAGUGAGCAGCGGCUGCAUCCCAAUAAUAUCUAUAUUUUAUUAAUAAUUAAUAAGUCUAGGAUUAUCGUCGUUACGGUUCACUCGAUGAGCCACAAAAGAUUAAUCUAUAUUACGAGUUUAUUGUACAUUCGGUACUAGGGACACGAUGAUGAGCUACGAGGGUGUGAAAGCGCGCGAAAGUGACACGAGUGAAUGUCGGUAUAGCACAUGUGUAUAUCUCGUUCAUCGUGUAUGGUGUGUUUGCCUAAUCGGGGCCUUAGGCGUCGUUCAAAACCAAGAUUUAACUGGACCAGCGCUUAAUCGUCGAUUCUCGUCGCCCCCGGGAGCUAAUUAAUUAAAUUAAAUAAUAGGGAAUAAACGAUUUCGACGCUGUUCGAUCAAACUUUUUUUCUCCGUGUUAGAUAUUAUGGAGAAUUUAUAGGAAUGAUAUACAGGGUGACCCAACCUUUCGAAAUGGGUUGUCAAACUUUUCUAGCUUAAGAUUUACUUCUUCACUGAAAUUUUUAAUAAAAAAAUAUGACAAGUAGAAAAAUUUCAACAGAUUUCAGAAAGUACAAGUUCAAUCCCGGAGUAACAGCUGUGCGGCCCCUGUACAAUACGUAAUACCCACUUGGGUUUGAAAGUGUUAUUGAAAGUGAAAUUUUUGCUCCAUUUUCGUUCCAAAGGUUUGACUACCUAUUGUCACCCUGUGAACAUUUGGCAACGAGACAGGGAGAGAGGUAUACCUUUAACUGACCACCAUGGAAGCCAUGGUUUGUUGAAUAUUUCAUUGCUUUCCGGUUUAAGUGGACAUAUCAGCGAUCAUCGUGUCUAAGACUGUCUGGAAAGUACCUUCGUCGUUUCCGUUUCCAUUUUCUUUUCUUAUUUUAAUGGUGUGCCUCAAUGGGUUCGAGUGAUCUUAUCUUGCCUGCUUUCCAUGGGAACCACGUUUAGGCCAUGCGUAGAGUUGGUACAAUAGCGUCGAUACAUUGCCAAAAAUGAUGGUUUUGAGAGGGGAAAACGAGAACGAGCCUAAUCAGUGCCGAUGACCCCAGAUAUCAAGAUUAUUGGAGAUAAAGGUCGAGGACGAUCUUAUGGGACUUUAAGUGAGCGUUAAGUCGAGAUAUAAGAGAUUAUCUAAGGAAUAGCUGUUAAGUGGAGGACACAAAAUAACAAGUUUAGCGAAAUGAUUAUAAACGACACACACACGUGCAUGUGGUCCAAAGUAGACUUCUAUUCAAAAUUAAAUAAAUUUUCUUUUAGUAAAUUAUUGUCAAUUAACAAAAUUAAUAAAAUUCCACUGACAAAUUUUUAAUGGCAUACUAGAAAUUUUUGCUAAUUCUGAACAAUUUCAAAUUAUAAAAGUUAAAUAUUGUCAAUUUUUUUUCUAUUAUUUAAUUUGUAAAAAUUUGAAGAAUCGUGAAAUCUUGAAAGUGGAAUCAUAGGAAUUUUUGCAAAAUCGCUUUCGCCACGUGCACGAAAGAGUACAGUCAGAGAGAGAAAACACACACGUACACAGAAACGCAGAACACACAAUCUUAGCGUGUUAGACUCGUGUAGUAGAGCCCCCCUUUCUAAUUAAGCCUCCAGAUCUUUAACAAUUACUAAUGUAUAGGUAAACGACAAUCACUGGACUCUCUGUAUCGAGAAUCUUCGAUCCCUGAGCCGUUGGAAAAGCUGUCGAACGAACGAUUUAUCAGUCAUCAAAUACCUCGAUCUUUGUUUUAGCUGUCCACACUUACGUUCAUCUUUCUUCUUUCGAAUCUACACAGCGAGCAUUUUAUUUCUGUACCUUUUCAUGUAAGAUUCAAUAUUCCAGAUUUGAUCUUCCUUGUUUGAACUACUGUUACACUCCUGUGGUCCUCGUUGGCAUGUUUAAUCUGGGAUGAUUUACCUGUGAUGGCUAUUUACGCUAAGUUUGAAAUUUGGACAAGUUUUCUGGAUUCACUAGAGUUUGUAUAUUAUUUGGAGAUUUUUAGAGUCUGGAGGUUUCUGGAGGACUAGGUUGUUUGAGGUCCAUGUUACAAGACUCAGCAUUUAUCACAAGACUCUAGAUUAACUGAGGUUACAGGUCCUUCUGGGUCUGUAGAUCCAUCAUGAUCCCUAAGUUGGUCAGAGUCUCUAGGUUUUCUGGUGUCUCUAAGGUUUCCGGGGUCUCAAGGUUUUAUAGAGUCUCUAGGUUUCCUAGGAUCCAUAGAAUUACCAGGUUAGACGUUAUCACUUCAGACCUAUAAGUCCACUGGGACCUCUAAACUUGCCAGAGUCACUAAGUCCAAAUUCUCUAAGAUCUGAUAUCUCAGAGUCUCUAGGCUCUCAAAGUUUCCACACAUCCUAGGAUCCUCACAAUCACCAGGUCCCUUCAGAUCUUUAGGACCUCUAAUCUUGCCAGAGUCACUAGGUCCAAAUUCUCUAAGAUCUGGUAACCCAGAGUCUCUAGGCUCUCAAGGUUUCCACACAUCCUAGGAUCCUUACAAUCACCAGGUCCCUUCAGGUCUGUAGAUCCACUAGGACCUCUAAAUUUGCCAGAGUCACUAGGUCCAAAUUCUCUAAGAUCUGAUAUCUCAGAGUCUCUAGGCUCUCAAGGUUUCCACACAUCCUAGGAUCUCCACAAUCACCAGGUCCCUUUAGAUCUGUAGGUCCACUAGGUCCUCUAAACUUGACAGAGUCACUAGGUCCACAUCCUCUAAAAUCUGUGGGUGUUGCAACUAGGUUCCCCAGAGAAUCUAGUUUCUCAAGGUUUCCAGAUAUCCUAGGAUCUCCACAAUCACCAGGUCCCUUCAGAUUUGUAGGUCCACUAGGACCUCUAAACUUGACAGAGUCACUAGGUCCACAUCCUCUAGAAUCUGUGGGUGUUGAGUCUCCAGGUUUCCCAGAGUCUCUAGUUUCUCAAGGUUUCCAGAUACCCUAGGAUCUCCACAAUCACCAGGUCCCUUCAGAUAUGUAGAUCCACUAGGACCUCUAAAUUUGACAGAGUCACUAGGUCCACAUCCUCUAAAAUCUGUGGGUGUUGCAGAGUCUCCAGGUUUCGCAGAGUCUCUAGCUUAUCAAGGUUUCUAAAUAUCCUAGGAUUUCUACAAUCACCAGGUCCCUUUAGAUCUGUAGGUCCACUUAGACCUCUAAAUUUAACAGAGUCACUAGGUCCAAAACCUCAAAGACCUAUGGGUGUUUCAGAGUCUCUAGGUUUCGCAGAGUCUCUAGCUUAUCAAGGUUUCUAAAUAUCCUAGGUUCCUCAUGAUCACCAGAUCCCAUCAGAUGUGUAGAUCUCCUAAGACAUCUGGAGCUACUAGGAUCACUAGGUCCUCCACAUUUUCUGGGUCACCCAGAUCCUUUAAAAUCCUCAGAGUACCUAAUGUUCCUAAAUACUCUAAAUUCUUCAUAUGUUCCAUAUGUCCCAUGUUCCAUGUUCUAUGUUCCACAUGUAAAAUGUCCUAUGUUCUAUGUUCCAUGCUUAAUGUUCCUUAUUUCCUAUGUUCCACAUGUCCCAUAUUCUAUGUGGCAUGUUUAAUGUUCCUCAUGUCCUAUGUCCCAUAAUCCUAUGUUCCAUAUGUCCUAUGUUCCAUAUGUCCUAUGUUCCACAUGUCCUAUGUUGCAUAUGUCCUAGUAUUCCCAGGAUCUCCAAAGUUUCUCACCACCUUUAACCUUGAAAGGAUUGGAUUAACCUUGAAAGACCUGAAAGAAAGGAUUAACCUUGAAAGACCUGAAAGAAAGAAUUAACCUUGAAAGACCUGAAAGAAAGGAUUAACCUCGAAACUCACAUCAACAACUUUUGAACCUCCCC